CACUUAAAGUGUGUGUUCUGGUCGUGACAAUCACAGGAGCCAAGGGAGGGUUCCUUACUCAAACCCUAACUUGCCUAAAUCCAAGAAAUUGAGAGGCCAAAUCAGUCCCAAAUCGAAAUCCAAGCUCGUAUUCAUGAACACCAAGUUGAAAGGAUCACAAGUUUGACGCGUAACAAGCUAGGUGGAAGCUUGGAGUGAAAGCGGGUCAAACAAGUCAAGCAUGGAAGAAAAGCGUAGCUCGGAUGCAAGGUAAGUGAAACUUACAUAAUUGUGUAGAUUACUUGUUCAUUCUAUACGUUAUAGAUGCAAUAAUGCUAAUAUUGAAAAUAUGGAUUUCCGACGUGAUUGAUACGAGUCGGAACAUAUAAAGAUGAUAAAAACCAUGUUUAUGGCAAAAAAAAGGGGAUUCGGUAAUGAAAUCCGGGACGGGAUGGAUGUAUGAAUUAGAAGUCAAAAACCAUGUUUUUGAUUUAAUAGGCAACGUUGGG
rnacentral:lncRNA from 1 species